rnacentral:lncRNA from 1 species
AUGGCGCACCGCCCUGGCCUCCCGGAAACACACCUGCCUCGGGCAUUUUCCAAGCUGCACCUCCAGGAGGCCCUAAAUCCCCGGAGAUUAAGCGGAUUAAAGCGAGGCCCCGCGCUCCAGAUCGCGCAGUUCCGCUCGGCGGAGGCGCGAGCACUCGCGGGGCCCCGCGCGCCAGGGUUCGCGCUCCAACCUCGGAUCCACCGCGCACAUGGGAGCCCCCCGACCCCCGGGACGCGCCGCCUCGCCCGCCAGGAACUGGUUUCCAGUUCUGUUAAUGGCAGGCCUGCUCCUGAAGAUGUGUGAACCCAAAGCAGCGAGUGGCUUCAAACCAAAUAUUCUUCUCAUCAUGGCAGAUGACCUGGGGAUUGGCGACCUCGGUUGCUAUGGCAAUGACACCCUGAGGUAAAGUUUGGCACCGGCGCAGGGAAUGAGCGUGUGGGCACGUGCUUUUUCAAACACCUGUGCUUGGCCUAAUGGUGCUGUCAUAUCUGCUGGUAGGAAGGAGGAAGUUUCUUCCUAUGUCAGAACUCAACAUUUAUAUAUAUAUAUAUAAUUUUUUUUUAAUUAUGAUUUUAUUUUUUUUCAUAAAACGAGGGUCCUAAGCCUUCCAAGGAAACCUGGAACUGUAGUGGGUGGGUUUAGCAGUUUCCUGCCACGGCCAGCACCAGAUCGUUACAAGCUUUGUGUCUUAAAGCACCAGAGAUUUAUUUUUUUGGUCUUUAUCUUUUAAUAUUACAUUCAAAAAAUAUGAGGCCCCCAUAUACCCCCACCCCCCUCACCCCACUCCUCCCCCCAUAACAACAACGUCCUCCAUCAUCAUGAGACAUUCAUUGCACUUGGUGAAUACAUCUCUGAGCACCACUGCACCUCAUGGUCAAUGGUUCACACCAUAGCCCACCCAGCUAACAUGGAGGUGAAGAAGGUCAACCAACAGAGAUUUAUUGAGACACCAGUUCUGGAAGCGGGAAGACUGAAAUCACCAGGUGGUCGGGGACCUGCUCCCUCCAAAACAGAGGGUCCGUUCUGGACCCGCAGUCUUUUAUGACUUGCAAAGACUUCCCUCGGCUCUCGGCCGCCAUCCCCACGUGCCUUCUCCUCUCCCUCUUUGUUUCUCCUCGUGAGAAGGGUAACUUUAGGACGACCUGUUAAUUCCAUCUUCAACCAACGCUUUUUCCAAAUAAGGCCCCAAUCUGAGAUCCUGGGGCGAGGAGUUGGACCUAUCUUUCGGGGGCCACCGUUCACCCCCGAAAGUGGGGUGUGUGCAAAUCUGGAGUAGGUAUGAUAGAGGCUGUGGAUGGGGGGCUGGUCAUCUCUUCCUGGAGAACCUGAGCUGUGCGUUUGGGACGGUGAGAGGCUGCAGCCCAGCCCUCGGUAACCAUGACAACAACUCCAGUCCCGGUUGAGCAAUGCAAACUCUAUAAACUUUAAAUAUUCAGGGAACAUGCAAACCAGAUGGGCUAAAAGCUUAUCUAGAAUGUAUGAAGUCUGUAUGGAAGAUAUAUGCUAAUUCAAGCCUAUUGAGCACUGAAACAAAGAACCAUUUGGCCCUUCCUCUGUAUAAAAGGAACUCAAACAUCUUGUUCGUUCAGGGUUCGGAUUUUGAAUGAGAAGCUCUGAGCCCGGCCGGUCGUGAAUAUAUCCUUUUUCCUUCCCCAAAUUAUUCCCGAGUCCUGGCCUUUCUAUACGCAAACCAUUGAACUUCUCUCGACUUCUACAACAGGUCAGCCUGUACCCCCUUCCCUCCAAAAGGCUGGCCUGCUUUGCCUCUGGAAACCUGGCGUUGAACUGGCCUCUGCCCUCCAGGAGCUCCCGACCAGAGGGCUACGCAGACAGCUGGGGCGCUCCCCUUCCGUGGUGGGCUUUCCAAACCCUGCACAAACCUGCCCUGUCCACUGUGUCCCCAGAGACCCCCCGUCCUCCCACCAGAGCAGGCACACCUCAGAUAACCCGGGGUCUCCAUUUGUCCCUGAAUGCCGGAGCAUGAGAAUCUGAUGCCCAUCCUUCUCUGCGGAGGUGGGGUCUGACGAGCACAGAAUCCCCCAACCUGUGCCUGGUCCAGCUCUGAUCCCAAAGAACUAAGUUGUCCCCAUAAAGAAAUUCUCAGGUGUGUUCACAGGGCCACAGGUUAAUUUAGAUAGGUGCACAUUUGAGGCCGGGUUUAGAGCUCCGUGUUGUUCCGACAAAGUUUAUCUUGAUGACUUCAACUCAUUCUUGUGUUUUCUAUAAUAUACUUUUAUAUAUUUUUAAAACGACUUAGAUAACGUAAACGUUACAUAAGAAAUAUAGGGGAGGGGAGCGGAUGUGGCUCAAGCGAUUGAGCUCCUGCCUACCACAUGGAAGGGCCUGGGUUUGGUUCCUGGUGCCUCCUGAGGAAGACGAGCAAGGCAGCGAGCUAAUGCAACGAGACACAAGGAGGAAAACAUAAUGAGAGACCCAACAAAGCAGGGAGCAGAGGUGGCUCAAGCCAUUAGGUGCUUCCCUCCCACAUGGGAGGUCCUGGGUUCAGUUUCUGGUACCUCCUAAAAAAAAAAAAAAGGAAGACAAGCACACAAUGAACAGAUGAAGUGAGUGCAAACAAUGAGGGGGUGGGGAGAAAUAAAAUAAAUCUGAAAAAUAGGGGAUUCCCACAUGCCCUGCUCCCUACCCCUCUCACAUUUUCCCACAUUAACAAAUCCUUUAUGAGUGUGGUACAUUUGUUAAAAUUGAUGAAUACAUUGUGGAGCGUUGCCGCUAAGCGUGGAUUAUAGUUUACAUUGUAGUUUACACUCUGCCAGACAAUUUUGCAGGUUAUGGCAAGAUAUAUAAUGCCCUGCAUCUAUCAUUGCAAUGUCAUUUAGAACAACUCCCAAGUCCCAAAAAUGCCCCCAUAUUACACCUGUUUUUCCCUCUCCUUCCCCUCAACUCAUUCUUUCCCAGACGUUUUGAAUUGGAGCCAGUUAUCCGUUCCAGCUUCAGGCUGUACCCCCAAGUUUGUACGCAUAGUAGAUUGUACCCCCACAAACACCUGCUCAGUUUCUAACCCCCAGUCCUGUUGGUUUGAACCUCUUCGUAAGUGGGAUCUUUUAAGGAUCUGUUUCCAAAUGGAUUCAGGGUGGGCUUAAGCCAAAAUUUGAAGGAAGUAAUUUGCAAGCAGAGAACAUUGGGCACAGCCAGGAGACAGAGGAGAUGNNNNNNNNNNNNNNNNNNNNNNNNNNNNNNNNNNNNNNNNNNNNNNNNNNAUGGGCAAGCACGUGAUGGAAGCCGAGACUGAAUCACGCGAUGCCCGCCAGCCCCUGCAGAAUGCAGAGAAAUCAGGGCCUUCUGAUACCUGAGAGUCACACUUCGGGGCUAAAACGCUUAGGCGGUAAAUUCUCGUGGGUUAAACCAACCAACCUGUGCUACUGGUUAAGGAACCCUGGAAAACUGAGCCAGGGGCCCAUGUGCCCCAUUUGCCAAGUUUUUUUGUUUUUAACUUAUUUAUCACCCCCACCGCCCCCCGUCCCCAGUUUUGUGUGUGUGUGAUUGCUGUCUGCUCUGUGUCCAUUCGCUGUGUGCUCUGUGUCUGCUCGUCUUCUCUUUUAGGUGGCACCGGGAACCGAUCCUGGGACCUUCUGGAGUGGGAGAGAGGCGAUCGUUCUCUUGCGCCACCUCAGCUCCCUGGUCUCCUGCGUCUCUUAUUGUCUCUCCUCGGUGUCCCUUUUUGUUGUGCCAGCUUGCUGCCCCAGGUCUGUGCUUGGGCCAAUUUGCUGCAUGAGCCAGCACUCCUGUGUGGGGCAACGCGCUGCGUGGGCCAGCACUCUGCCUUGUCCAGCUCGCCUUCACCAGGAGGCCCUGGGAAUCAAACCCUGAACCUCCUCUGUGGUAGACGGGAGCCCAGUCACGUGAGCCACGUCUGCUUCCCUCCGUUUGCCAAGUUUUGAGAUUCGUUCCAAUUGUACAAGAAAACUGACGGGGAAAUGAAUUGACUUCCUGUUCCUGCUGAAAUGAAUGGGUGAUGUGAAACAUGACAAAUUAAUUCACUUACCCUUCUGGGUGUGGUGAGUCCCAAGAUCAGAAUGUCCGUAUGGCUGCACUCUCCAGAGGAAAAUCCUUUCUAACUGCUAGCGACCCUUGGCCCAUGGCCCCUUCCUCUGUCUUCUUUUUUUUUUUUUAAAGAGGUACUAGGGAUUGAACCCUGGACCUCAUCCGUGGGAAUUAGAACUCAAACCGCUGGGCUACACCCGCUGCCCUCCUCUGUCUUUAUUCAUUUAAAUUUAAUUUUAUUUUUUUAAUUAUCUUUUUUUUAAAGUUAGUUGAUCACAUGAAACGUUACGUUAAAAAACCUAAGAGGUUCCCAUAAACCCCACUCCCCACCCCUCACCCCCAUCAUUUUUUAAAAAUUGUAUUGUUUUGAAGAUACAGAGAUCAAAAAAAAAUGUUACAUUAAAAAAUA